rnacentral:rRNA from 1 species
GAUGAACGCUGACAGAAUGCUUAACACAUGCAAGUCUACUUGAUUCUCCUUCGGGAGAUGAAGGUGGCGGACGGGUGAGUAACGCGUAAACAAUCUGCCCUUCAGUCUGGGACAUCAGUUGGAAACGACUGUUAAUACCGGAUAUUAUGAGAUUCUCGCAUGGGAAACUCAUGAAAGCUAUAUGCGCUGGAGGAGGAGUUUGCGUUCCAUUAGCUAGUUGGUGAGGUAACGGCUCACCAAGGCGACGAUGGAUAGCCGGCCUGAGAGGGUGAACGGCCACAAGGGGACUGAGACACGGCCCUUACUCCUACGGGAGGCAGCAGUGGGGAAUAUUGGACAAUGGGCCACGAGCCUGAUCCAGCAAUUCUGUGUGCACGAUGAAGGUCUUCGGAUUGUAAAGUGCUUUCAGUUGGGAAGAAGAAAGUGACGGUACCAACAGAAGAANCGACGGCUAAAUAUGUGCCAGCCGCCGCGGUAACAC